GUGUACAGUUCAGUGGCAUAAAAUGCCUUCACAUUGUUGUGGAGCCAUUGUCAUGUCCAUCUCCAGAAUUUUUCAUCCUUUCUUCAGCCCCUGAAUUGCUUCCAGAAGCUACUUUAUGAAUCACAGAAAAGAAGCUCUUUCAUCUUAUAAUGGUGGCAACUAUUUAUUUUUGAAAUCAAAGUUGGAAUUCUUCAUGUUGAUACCCCUCUGAACCGCUAGGAAUAUAUUUUUAAAAAAUGGCUUUUGGUUGUGUAUACAUAUGCUCUCAUGGAAGGACCAAAGGUAGUUCUUGACAGAAAUUUCAAUAAAGACUUUUUGAAAAGGUU